rnacentral:lncRNA from 1 species
GCACGGCUGAUAUAUCAGUUUCAUAACACUCUGCAGAGGUUGUGCACUUUACCCAUAAGCCGUGAUUCCCUCUUGCCUUGGGCCGAUCAAACCCUUAAACACUACCAAGGUGAAUAGGCAGGGUUUCACUACGUAGCCUUUACAAAGAUUCCCCGGGGCUGUAGCCACCCGUUAGGUUUCCUAAAUGCACCGCACUCCUCCCCAAGGGGCGAACCCAAACUUGGCAGAGCGAGCCGCAUACACCGAGCCCCAUUGACGGCACGACGGCUAAGUGAACUACAUCCCGGAUCCUCUAAUUAUUCAGCUAAGGGCACCCCAUUCCACCCUUAUGGUUGCACUGUUUUCCCGGGCGGUCAUCCAUAGAACAGGUCCUUACGGAGAGGCACUCGAGAAACCGCUCGAGUCCCCUUAAAUGCCACAAGUAUAAUCAUAGAUAAGAACGGGAAAACAGCGUAUCAUAGAUAAUCUCAUCAUGUUCAUUGAUUAGAGUUGAGCAAUAGCAUAAAGCUAAACAGUAAUAAUCCAACCCAAAUAGGUAAACAAGGACAGGGAUAACAAAAGCUAGUCAAUCCUUAGGUAUAAAGGUGUAAUGCGGGAGGUGAAUUAAUUAAUGAAUAGGACAGAGAUAGGUCUAAGGACACUUGCCUCCACCAAACGACUGCUGCUCAGGGGCUUCUCCUGCGGGUUCCUCGGGCUCUUCGACCGAAUCGUUCUCUAUGCGAUUGCAAACAUACAUACAUCCAUCCACAUUUAAUACAAAAGAACAGUACACCAUACAAGGGAACAAAUAAAGUAAGUAUGCAUCAAGUAUGACAUUCGAUAUCGCAUUUGUUAUGGUUAGAAAGAAACGGGAAAGGGUCUCGCAGGGGGUUAAAUCUUAUGCACUAACGAUCAAUUAUAAUUGUUUCUUAACAAAAGACUUCUGUUACAUCUACACUAAUGGUAACCUAAUCAUUUUAAGUUGAUCAACAUUGCACGAGAUAAACAAUUAACUACAUGAAUCAAUUAGCAUAACGAAAUUUUAAAUUAAAUUUCCUAUUUCAAUGGCAUAUGAACAACGAUUAGCCUACUUAAAAUAAAGUAGCUAUGAUCACAGAAAGUAAAUAAAAUAAAAUAAAUAAUAAAAAAAAUAAAAAACAGGGGGGGCGGCCAGGGCGCGGCCAGGCGGGCGGCCGGGGGCGCGGCCAGGCGGGCGGCCAGGCGGGCGGCCGAGCGGGCGGCCAGGCGGGCGGCCAGGGCGCGCGGCCAUGGCGGCGGCCAUGGCGCCGAGCGGCGAGGGGAAGGGGAGGGGGAAUGGGGGAGGGAGGAGAGAGGGAGGAGGGGGGCUCACCGGCGAGGGGCGGCCGACGGCGGGGGGGCGGCCGGCAGGGGGCGGCGGCGGCUUAGGGCAGGGGCGGGUAGGGGCGGCGCUAGGGGAGAGAGAGGGAAAAUGAGAGAGAGGGAGAGGAAUUGGGGGGUUUUGGGGAAAAAAUAAAGGAGGGGGGCGGCAUGGGCCAAUUGGGCCCAAGGGGGGGCGCCAGGGGCGGCUGGGCCGGCCGGGGUCGGCCCACGGCGCGGGAGAGAGAGAGAUAGAAGAGAGAGAAAGAGAGAGAAAAAGAAAUAAAAGAUCUUCUUCUUAUUUUCGAAAUCCGAUCUUUCUACAUGAAUGCAUUUGCACUUUCAAAGCAAUCAAAAGAAAUGCAAGGUUCGGCAUGGUGCAUCAAACAACAUAAAGUACUUAGGGUUUUUCUUACACGGGAAAUCCAAACCGAAUCCCGCUAGAACUUUGGAAAAGGUCAAGGUUUAGCGAGGGGAAAAAGAAAAAGAAAAGGUAACGCCCGAAUUUUGGCGAGUAAAGAAAAGAAAAAAUUCAACUGCAAAAAUUCGGGGCGUUACAAACCUAUCCCCCUUAAAAGAAUCUCGCCCUCGAGAUUCAGGGCUGGCUAGCAAAGAGCUCUGGGUACUUGGCCACUAGAUCAUCUUCACGCUCCCAGGUUGCUUCUUCCUCAGAGUGGUGAUUCCAUCUGACUUUGCACAUUCUGAUGGUCUUCCUUCGGGUGACUCUAUCUGCAAUCUCAAGGAUCUGAGCUGGCUUCUCAACAUAGGUCAAGUCCUCCUGGACCUCAAGACCUUCCACUGGCAACUGCUCUUCUGGCACACGCAAGCACUUCUUCAACUGAGACACAUGAAAGACAUUAUGCACAGCAGACAAAUUCUCGGGCAAACUGAGCUGAUAGGCCACUUCUCCACGUCUUGCAAGAAUCUGAUACGGACCAAUGUAGCGGGGUGCUAGCUUGCCUUUCACUCCGAAUCUUCUGACUCCUCUGAUCGGUGACACUUUCAGAUAGACAAAAUCUCCGACUUCAAAACUCAGCUCUCUUCUUCUUGUGUCUGCAUAGCUUCGCUGCCUCGAUUGCGCUAUCUUCAGAUUCUCUCGAACCAUCUUGAUGUUCUCUUCGGCUUCAAGCAAAAUGUCUGGCCCAAAUACUUGCUUUUCUCCAGGCUGAUCCCAUUGCAACGGAGUUCUGCAACUUCUUCCAUAGAGCGCCUGAAACGGUGACAUCUUCAAACUGGCCUGGUAACUGUUGUUAUAGGAAAACUCUGCAUAAGGCAAUCGCUUAUCCCAUCCGGACUGAUCUUGCAACGCACAGGCUCUCAACAUGUCUUCAAGAAUUUGAUUGGUUCUUUCGGUCUGGCCAUCUGUCUGCGGGUGAUAAGCUGAACUGAAAUUCAGAUGUGUGCCCAAGGCUUCAUGCAACUGCUGCCAGAAAUGAGAGGUGAACUGCGUUCCUCUGUCUGACACUAUCUUCUUUGGCACACCAUGAAGACAAACGAUCCGAGACAUAUACAAUUCUGCCAAUACUGCACUGUUGUAAUUGGUCUUGACAGGUAUGAAGUGGGCUGACUUGGUCAAACGGUCCACCACUACCCAAAUGGAAUCGUAGCCGGCUCGAGUGCGAGGCAAUCCGACUAUGAAAUCCAUACCAAUUUCAUCCCAUUUCCACUGAGGGAUCUGCAACGGUUGCAACAAUCCAGCUGGUCUCUGGUGCUCUGCCUUAAUUCUUCGGCAACUAUCGCACUUAGCCACAUGCUCUGCGAUUUCUCUCUUCAUUCCGUACCACCAGAAUUUCUUCUUCAGAUCCUGAUACAUCUUCUCACUACCAGGGUGAAUCGAAUAAGCUGUCUCAUGAGCUUCCUUAAGAAUCAACUCUCGAAUAGACUGGACAUUGGGAACACACAAGCGGUCUUUGAACCAUAUCACGCCUUCUGCAUCCUCUCGAAAAUCUUUGCCUUUGCCUUCUAGAAUCAAUCGCCGAAUCUCACUGAUCUUCUCAUCACUCUUCUGCGCUUCUUUGAUUUCGCGCUCCAAGGUAGGUUCCAACUCAACCGUGACUCCUCGCGAAUUAUUCAGAAAUCCGAGACUCAACCUGUCAAACUCCUUGGCCAACUCAUAAGGCAUCGGACGAGCGACCAUCAGAUUGACUUGACUCUUUCUGCUCAAAGCAUCUGCCACUACGUUUGCUUUGCCUGGAUGGUAAUGAAUCUCCAACUCAUAGUCUUUGAUCAACUCUAACCAUCUUCGCUGCCUCAUGUUCAACUCUGACUGAGUGAAUAUGUACUUCAGACUCUUGUGGUCUGUGUAAACAUCACAUUUCUGUCCAUACAGAUAGUGCCUCCAUGUCUUCAGUGCGUGAACCACUGCUGCCAACUCUAGAUCAUGGAUCGGGUAGUUCUUCUCAUGAACCUUCAGCUGUCGGGACGAGUAAGCCACAACUCUUCCCUCUUGCAUCAACACACAUCCCAAACCUGUGUAGCAAGCAUCGCAAUACACCGAGAAGGGCUUGUGCACAUCAGGCAAGACUAGGACAGGCGCUGUAGUCAACUUCUCUUUCAGCGCUUCAAAGGCCUCUUGGCAUUUCUGGGUCCACUUGAACUCAACUUUGUUGCCUAGCAACGCUGUCAUUGGUUUCGCAACCUUCGAAAACCCUUCAAUGAAUCGCCGAUAAUAUCCGGCCAUUCCAAUGAAGCUCUUGAUUCCUCUAGCAUCUGUUGGCGCUUUCCAGUUCAAAAUGUCUGCCACUUUCUUCGGAUCCACAGCCAAUCCUUCUUUGUUGAUUAUAUGACCCAAGAACAGGACUUCACUGAUCCAGAACUCACAUUUGCUCAACUUUGCAUACAACUGGUGCUCUCGCAAUCUCUGCAACACCAUCCUCAAAUGAUCUGCAUGCUCUUCUUCGCUUUGAGAAUAAACCAGAAUAUCAUCAAUGAAUACCACCACAAACUUAUCAAGGUAAUCCAUGAAUACACUGUUCAUCAAGUUCAUAAAGAAUGCUGGCGCAUUGGUCAAACCAAAAGACAUCACUGUGAACUCGUACAACCCAUACUUGGAAAUGAAUGCCGUCUUCGGAAUGUCCGAAGGUCGGAUCCUGAGCUGAUGAUAACCUGACCUCAGAUCAAUCUUGGAGAACACACUGGCUCCUCUCAACUGGUCGAACAGAUCUUCUAUUCUGGGCAAGGGAUACUUGUUCUUGAUCGUGACUUCAUUCAAAGCUCGAUAAUCGAUGCACAUCCUCUUGGUGCCAUCUUUCUUUUCCACGAACAGGACAGGGGCGGCCCAAGGCGAGGUGCUUGGCCGAAUGUAACCUUUCUCUGACAGCUCAUCAAUUUGCUUCUUAAGCUCAACCAACUCUGGUCCAGAUAUUCUGUAAGCUCUCUUAAAGAUAGGGGCGGUUCCAGGAAGAAGCUCUAUGGCAAACUCAACUUUCCGCUCUGGUGGCAUACCCGGUAAAUCCUUGGAAACACAUCUGGGAAUUCAGACACAACCUUGAUACUCUCAAUUGGAUCUGCUUCACUGCUAUCGACAGCCAUCUGAUAACAACUUCCUUUCUUCGGCUCAGGUGGGACUAACUCGGUCACCACUUCCUUUCCUAGUGGGGACACCAACUUGAUUGUCCUUUUAUCACAACUGAUAACUGCCUGAUACUUAUCUAGCCAAUUCAUCCCUAGGAUGACAUCUAUUCCCUGAGUACCCAUUACUAUAAGGUUGGCGGGAAACGCUAUCCCCCUUAUUUUCACACUUAUAUUCAAACAAAUGCUAUCGGCUCGAAUUCUACCACCGGCUGAGUCAAUUUGAAUGGGGGUUGACAUGGUAGUAGUUGGAAGAUUAUGUGCUUCUACCCAUGAUGUAGUAAUGAAAGAAUGCGUUGCUCCAGUAUCAAAUAACACUUCUGCAAUAUGGGAGUCGACUGGGAACAUACCUACUAUCAUGCCGGGGGUCUCCUGAACUGCUUCAGCUUCCAAGUGGUUCAAUCUUCCAUGAUUAUAGCGCUGCUGAGAGCGAUUGCCUGCUCCAGGCUGAGACACAUUCUGCUUUGCUGGGGCAUUGGGGCCUGACUGCUGCUGGGCUGCCUUCUUCGGACAUUGCAUCACCCAGUGGCCUUGCUCUCCACAGUGGAAACACGCCCUGUUUCCAACCUGAGCUGGUGCUGCCUGACUGUUCUGCUGGUUUGCUGGGGCAGGAAGACGAGGUGCUUGCUGAUUCUGCUUCUGAAACUGACCUCCUGACUGAUUGCUCUGACGGUUCUGGUACUGAUGCUGGGGAUACUGCCUUUGGAACUGCUGAUGCUGCUGAGGUGGACGCUGGUUCUGCCUGAACUGCUGAGGUUGAUUGCCUGAAAAACGAGGGCGGCUGCUGCUUCCAGGCUGCGGUCCACUGAUCUUGCGCUUACGAUCUUCCAUCUCCUUGCGCUUUCUCUCCGUCAUGAUUGCUCUAUCAAUCAGGUGCUGGAAUGUCGGGAAGGUGUGAUUCAUCAGCUGAUACUGCAGAGGGUCAACCAAGCCUCUCAGGAAACGGUAUUGUCGCUUGGCGUCGGUGUUGACAUCUUCAGGAGCAUAGCGAGACAAUUGCAGAAACUUGUCCCGGUACUCACUGACAGACAAUGGCCCUUGCUUGAGAGCCAGGAACUCCUCCUUCUUCACAGUCAUCAGACCUGCAGGAACAUGGUACUGACGGAAGCUACCUCUGAAUUCUUCCCAAGUGAUGGUGUCGGGGUUGGCAUGGGUGGCGAGGUAAGACUCCCACCAUGACUGGGCUGCUCCUCUCAAUAGACGGGGACCAUACAGAACUUUCUCCCUGUCAUCGCACUGAGCGGUAUGCAACUCCCGCUCCACAGUGCGCAGCCAAUCUUCAGCAUCCAUGGGGUCAGAAGAAUGAGCGAACGUUGGUGGAUGACCUCUCAUGAAUUCAGCACGCUUGUCUCUAGGCAUCUGAGGCAUCUGAGGUUGAGGUGGCGCCUGCUGCUGUUGUUGCUGCUGCUGCUGAAUGGCGGCCAAGGUCUGACCGAUGGCCUGAACUGCCUGAGUCUGCAUCAGAAACAUCUGCUCAAUCGACAUCGGGGGCGGGGGCGGCAGCUGCUGCUGCUGGGGCGCCUCAUCUUGCUGACCGGCUCGCUCCUGCUGAGCACGCCUUCCUCCUCUACGCCUGUUCUCUGACAUCUGCAGAAUGCAACCACACAUCAGAACUGAUCUGGCAAAUCUUGCCAGCAUAAGAAAAGAGAAUAGAAUUCUUCAACAGCACUGAACAGAUGAGCAUCUUCACUGAUCUCCAACACAGACCAACAGCUUCUCAGAUAAAGAGGAAAGUGGAAUAAAAGGUUUCCCAACUAUAUAACUAACUUUAUUAACAUAAUAUGUAAACCAAAAUGCAGGGGGUACCCACACUCUGGUGACAAUCAUUACAAAGAUCCAAAUCAAACAUAGUUCAUCAUGACAAACAUAGAUGCACAGGAUAUAGCAAACUACCCUGUCUAACUAAGACUAACUAAGACCGAGACCAACGCUAGACUGAAGCUUCUAUGUAUAUAUUUCGUAUUAAUUACAAGGUCCAACUCUAACGAUUUAUGGUUCUAGAGUUAUCUUGGUCCUGCAGGCGGGAUGCCAUAAGACUGGUGUCCACGCUGAGGUGAGCGGUACGGGUGCUGAGUCCCGACGGGAGCGGGGGAACCACCAUCCAAAUAACGACGUUCCGCGCGCUCAGCCCGCAACAGGGCGAUCUCAACACGAGCCCUACUCAGCUCGUCUAAUGCAUGGUCCAGCUCCGUGUUUAGCACGGCGGCUAGGUUGACUGUGCUGCUCAACCUAGGAUUGCCCUCACCGACAGGUGAGACAAUCACGCCUCCUGUGCUGCCAGAUGGACGGCGGGGGUAAUACUUCAGGUCAAGACCGUCAGCUGCCCCACCGAAAACCGAGCAGUAGUGCGAAAGCGCACGCCGUGCAGCAUCUUGCAUGGCUGCCUCAGCUGAGUCCCGCUCAGAGAUAGAAUAGUGCUCUGAGCAGGCCUCGCACCCUGGAGACUGUCUCCGGCAGCGCACAAGCAAGUUGCCUCCCAGCGGUCCGGGUAGACCCCGCGACUAUGCUGGUAGACCACACAACGAUACUCAACGGACCAAGUAUGCCGGUCAAAUGCCCGACGUAGCAGGGUGUCGAGCGCAUCAUGGAAGUGACACCCGCGAGCAGCGUCGCGAGUGAUGGGUCGAGCAACCCAUCCUUCCGGCUCAGGGUUAGCAAGAAGUCGGUGUCGUGGCUCGAGCUGUCGUCGCCAUCUCCGUCGUCUGGGUCCCUCCAGCAGCUACUCCAGAAGCUGGGCGCCCAGUGGUGGUGCAGGGGGCGCUCCAGAGGAAGCACAGGGAGCAGCUCCUCACAGACUCUAUCUCCUGGUGGAGCGAGAAGGAAGAGCCUGCUGCUCCUGUCGUCGACGCUCCUGCUCCUCACGCAGGCGGUGGUGUAGUCUCCCAAGUGCGACUGUCCGGCCACGGACGGCGAAGCGGACGCUCAGCAAGCGGGAGGGUAAGAAGGGAUGACUGACUUCGUGCAGUGUGUCUAAGUCGAGCCAUCUACAAAAGACAUCGCAAGCAAAAGGGUGAGAACAGAAUCAAUAUGACCAGCAAAUAAGUAAAUGAAGGAUCAGAAUGAAAACAAUUUUUAGCAAGGUAUAAUAAUAUAGAACAUAGGUUUGGUCGGUAUGACUAACUUUUGAAGAGAUAUCAAAGUCAAGGCAGAGACAGAGGUCUAUAGUCCUUAGAACGACCAUUCUACUCUAGGUUAGCGGUCCUACAGUCAGCACGGCUUGAUACCACUUAUGUCACACCCGUUUUAGAAGGCAAACCGAAUGCGAACCAUGUACGUGCCAGGAUCAGUUAUUCACGUACACACAGUUACAUAAUAUGGACAUCAUCACACAGUGCUCAAAAUAGUAUAAUAAGGGAAAUAGUCGAUACAUCAUACGUCUGAGACGUCCAUAUAGUCUACAGUAAAUCAAAGUGCGGAAAAGAAACUAGAUAACGCGGCCUUCACAGGCAGCCGACUGGGGGUUGCCGCUAACCCACACCUAGAACUCGUCGUAUCUUGGAACUCCUGAAGUCUCCUCCACAGCUUCAUCUUCGCCUGAGCAGUGGUUGCAAUGCUGACAACCUGGGGGGGGGGUUUGGUGUGUAGAGCAAGGGUGAGUACACAUCAACAUACUCAGCAAGUAUCCUGUUUGGCUGUAGUGGACUAGCUUUAUGUGGGGAUAAGUCAAGCAGUUGCUUUUAGUUGGUCAGAUUAUUAUUUACUAGUAGAAAGCCAAGUUUUAGCAUUAACCCAAGUUAUUAACCCAUGUACCCUUUCCAAACGGAAAGAAUACCACUUACCAGCACCAUAGUCAUAACCAAAACCAUCAAUCUCAUCCACCUGUACCAAAUGUCUCUGAUCAAGUACCACUAAUCACUGGAGCUCCCUUGGCCGCUCAUAACCGUGAGCACGGCUGAUAUAUCAGUUUCAUAACACUCUGCAGAGGUUGUGCACUUUACCCACAAGCCGUGAUUCCCUCUUGCCUGGGCGAUCAAACCCUUAAUCACUACCAAGGUGAAUAGGCAGGGUUCACUACGUAGCCUUUACAAAGAUUCCCGGGGCUGUAGCCACCCGUUAGGUUUCCUAAAUGCACCGCACUCCUCCCAAGGGCGAACCCAAACUUGGCAGAGCGAGCCGCAUACACCGAGCCCCAUUGACGGCACGACGGCUAAGUGAACUACACCCGGAUCCUCUAAUUAUUCAGCUAAGGGCACCCAUUCCCCCUCAUGGUUGCACUGUUUUCCCGGGCGGUCAUCCAUAGAACAGGUCCUUACGGAGAGGCACUCGAGAAACCGCUCGAGCCCCUUAAAUGCCACAAGUAUAAAUCAUAAUAAGAAGGAAAACAGCGUAUCAUAGAUAAUCUCAUCAUGUUCAUUGAUUAGAGUUGAGCAAUAGCAUAAAGCUAACAGUAAUAAUCCAACCCAAAUA